rnacentral:tRNA from 3 species
UAAUUGAAGCCAAAAAGAGGCAUAUCACUG